rnacentral:rRNA from 1 species
GAAGAAGCGGGAAUUAUUCUAUAAGACGAGAAGACCCCAUGAAGCUUCAAAUAAGUAUCAACUCUUAACUUUACACCACCAGAUACAUAAUAGUCAUGAUUACUAAUUUUUGGUUGGGGCGACCAUGGAGUAAAACAAAACCUCCACAAUGAAAAGGCCUAACCCCAUUAUUCAAGAACAACAGUUCUAACAAUCAAUACAUUGACAUAAUUGACCCAAACCCCUUGAUCAAUGAACCAAGUUACUCUGGGGAUAACAGCGCUAUCUAUUUCAAGAGUUCAUAUCGACAAAUGGGUUUACGACCUCGAUGUUGGAUCGGGGUAUCCCAGUGGUGCAGCCGCUACUAAAGGUUCGUUUGUUCAACGAUUAAAACCCCACGUGAUCUGAGUU